UCGACUGGUGUCCUGGGCAUUGCGGGGCCACCCUAUGUGUCUGUGGCGGUGGGAUCCCUGCGUUGUUUACCCGGUGUCCCAUCCAGG
rnacentral:pre_miRNA from 1 species